GACGUAGGGCGCGAGCGUUGUCCGGAUUUAUUGGGCGUAAAGAGCUCGUAGGCGGUUUGUCGCGUCGUUCGUGAAAACUCACAGCUUAACUGUGAGCUUGCGGUCGAUACGGGCAGACUGGAGUGCGGUAGGGGAGAAUGGAAUUCCUGGUGUAGCGGUGGAAUGCGCAGAUAUCAGGAGGAACACCGAUGGCGAAGGCAGUUCUCUGGGCCGUAACUGACGCUGAGGAGCGAAAGCGUGGGGAGCGAACAGG
rnacentral:rRNA from 1 species